AUUGAACGCUGGCGGCAUGCUUUACACAUGCAAGUCGAACGGUAACAGGCCGCAAGGUGCUGACGAGUGGCGAACGGGUGAGUAAUGCAUCGGAACGUGCCCAGUCGUGGGGGAUAACGCAGCGAAAGCUGCGCUAAUACCGCAUACGAUCGAUGGAUGAAAGCGGGGGACCUGUAAGGGCCUCGCGCGAUUGGAGCGGCCGAUGUCAGAUUAGGUAGUUGGUGGGGUAAAGGCUCACCAAGCCGACGAUCUGUAGCUGGUCUGAGAGGACGACCAGCCACACUGGGACUGAGACACGGCCCAGACUCCUACGGGAGGCAGCAGUGGGGAAUUUUGGGCAAUGGGCGCAAGCCUGAUCCAGCAAUGCCGCGUGCAGGAAGAAGGCCUUCGGGUUGUAAACUGCUUUUGUACGGAACGAAACGGCUCUGGUUAAUACCUGGGGCUAAUGACGGUACCGUAAGAAUAAGCACCGGCUAACUACGUGCCAGCAGCCGCCGCGGUAA
rnacentral:rRNA from 1 species